CAUUUGGUGCAUCAUUUAUAGAUAUUUGAAGGACUUCUUAAAUUGCCAGGGAACAGGGAAUGUGCUGACUGCAAAAGCAAGCAGGUAUCUUAGUUGAAUUUUGAUAACGAAUGAUCUUUUAUUUCUAAAGCUAGGGAACAAGGAGCAAGUAGUGGGCACAUGUCAGUUACGGAUACUUCACAAAAUGAGACAUUGGAGGUUGGACCUGGGAAUUUGAAGAUGUCCUUUUCAUCAACAUCUGGACAACUAAAACACAUGAUAAAUUAUAAAACAAGUGUGAAAGAUUUGGAUGUGGAACUUGAAAGUACAAAGCAGAAAAGUAAAUAAAACCUGCAACAAGUCAUCUUAAUUGAAAGAGAAAG